rfam:Pongo abelii chromosome 20.
GGAUGUGAGGGCGAUCUGGCUGUGACAUCUGUCACCCCAUUGAUCGCCAGGGUUGAUUCGGCUGAUCUGGCUGGCUAGGCGGGUGUCCCCUUCCUCCCUCACCGCUCCAUGUGCAUCCCUCCCUGUAAUUAAUAUUUUCAUUGUGUUAUUUAUCUUGUUUUUGACUAAAUAAAGUAUUUGAUUUUAUAUUGAGUUAUU